GAUGAACGCUGACAGAAUGCUUAACACAUGCAAGUCUACUUGAUUCUACUUCGGUAGUUGAUGGUGGCGGACGGGUGAGUAACGCGUAAAGAAUCUGCCCUUUAGUUUGGGAUAACCUUUGGAAACGAAGGCUAAUACCGGAUAUUAUGGAGACGUCGCAUGGCGACUCCAUGAAAGCUAUAUGCGCUAGAGGAGGACUUUGCGUCCCAUUAGUUAGUUGGUGAGGUAAUGGCUAACCAAGACCGCGAUGGGUAGCCGGCCUGAGAGGGUGAUCCGCCACAAGGGAACUGGGACACGGUCCUUACUCCGCCGGGAGGCAGCAGUGGGGAAUAUUGGACAAUGGGCCACAAGCCUGAUCCAGCAAUUCUGUGUGCACGAUGAAGGUCUUCGGAUUGUAAAGUGCUUUCAGUAGGGAAGAAAAAAAUGACGGUACCUACAGAAGAAGCGACGGCUAAAUAUGUGCCAGCAGCCGCCGUAACAC
rnacentral:rRNA from 1 species